UAUGUUACAAUGCUUGCGACACAUCCAUUGUUCGUUGUAAUCUUGUGUAUGGUUGUAUCAACCAUUAAAACAGAAACAUCUGAAGAAGUUCCCAACGCUGGCGAGAACCAAGAUUUAUCCAGUGAAGAACAAACGGCCACGCUUAAUUUUGAUGGAUUUGUUCCUGCAAAAGGAAAAGUUAUAAUCGCCAGAAAUUUUGGAUAUACACCAUUUUUCCCAAUAUAUCAUCGCAUUUGGCAACCCAAAAUUGUAUGCACUGUACCAAAUAUACACGAGGCUCCCUACAAAAACAAUGAUGAUGAAAUUGCAAGUAGCAGCAAUGAAGAUUGUGAUAAAAAUAAUAGUGUAGACACAGAUUUCAUCAUGGAAGGCAAUGAAAGCAACCACGAUGAUAAUGGUGGUAACGAACUAAAUAGCAACGUACAUAGUGGUGAAAAUAUGAACAUCGAUGUGUCUGGCAUGAUUUCAAUUAUCACAAAAACGCCUGAAGAUUUCGAUGGUAGCUCAACUGACGGUAGUGCAGAAAGUGAUGAAUAUACUAAGAUCGAUAAAGAUGCUACAGUGCCAGCCAAUAUUAUAUUUUCCGGUGAAGUGCCAGCGUAUGGCAG